rnacentral:rRNA from 1 species
GACGAACGCGGCGGCGUGCCUAAUACAUGCAAGUAGAACGCUGAAGAGAGGAGCUUGCUCUUCUUGGUGAGUUGCGAACGGGUCUGUAACGCGUAGGUAACCUGCCUGGUAGCGGGGGAUAACUAUUGGAAACGAUAGCUAAUACCGCAUGAUAUUAAUUAUCGCAUGAUAAUUAAUUGAAAGAUGCAAUUGCAUCACUACCAGAUGGACCUGCGUUGUAUUAGCUAGUUGGUGAGGUAACGGCUCACCAAGGCGACGAUACAUGGCCGACCUGAGAGGGUGAUCGGCCACACUGGGAUGAGACACGGCCCAGACUCCUACGGGAGGCAGCAGUAGGGAAUCUUCGGCAAUGGGGGGAACCCUGACCGAGCAACGCCGCGUGAGUGAAGAAGGUUUUCGGAUCGUAAAGCUCUGUUGUAGAGAAGAACGGGUG